rnacentral:rRNA from 1 species
UACGUAGGAUGCAAGCGUUGUUCGGAAUUACUGGGCGUAAAGCGUGCGCAGGCGGUGAUGUAAGACAGGUGUGAAAUCCCCGGGCUUAACCUGGGAACUGCAUUUGUGACUGCAUCGCUGGAGUGCGGCAGAGGGGGAUGGAAUUCCGCGUGUAGCAGUGAAAUGCGUAGAUAUGCGGAGGAACACCGAUGGCGAAGGCAAUCCCCUGGGCCUGCACUGACGCUCAUGCACGAAAGCGUGGGGAGCAAACAGG